UUUAAUAUUAUGAUGAGGAAGAUAUCUGCCUUAAAACUCUUAACAGCGAACAGGAUGCGGUGGAAGCCUGGAAGUGUAUGGUAGAAUAUUAUCACCUCGGAGUGAUUUGCUGAACAGUAGAAUAUCAAACCCAUGGUAUUCUCAUAGUAGGCCGAUCCGGUUAGUUCCCGUUAAAAAACUAAAAGUGGUUUAAUGCAUAUCUCAACUACGAAGAGAAUUCAUUAAACAAUGAAGGUGGUACCGCGAUUAAUAUUCGUCCUUAAA
rnacentral:ncRNA from 1 species